AAAUUACUGAAAAUAGAAUUUUGGAGAAAGCAAAAUCAAUUCAAAACAUGGUUGAUUGUUGCAAUUUCAGUUAGAUAAUGCAAAAUUCAAGCUCAGAUUAAGAGCAAUAGGUCCCUACACAAUCACUUUCAAUGACAAGUAGUUAGUGAUCAUCUUCAUUCCGAGACAAGUCCUGUUCUCUGUUCCUUGAGCUGAAGCUCUAAAGAUUCUAUGAUGCUGAAAAUUUAAAUUUAAUGGAUCUUAGUCAUCAUUGACAUCAUAUCUGAAGAACUGAAUAAUCCAAAGAAGUAAUCUCUGUUCCUUUCCUAUUGAUCCUCCUAAUUUCUAUCAUUUCUUCCUUGAUGAUUCCAAAUAUAUAUCCUCCUGUGUGACUGUGAGAUUAUGUGUAAAUGUUCUACUCUCCAUCCUAGAAUUUCUUUUUCUCUUUUCUCUUUUUUCUUGUUAUCAAGUUUCUAUUUUCUCUUCUCCCAUAAAUAUUUUGAAAAUUCAUCGUUACACUUCUCCCAACUUCGAAAAGUGAACAGGAAAAUGCGGAGCUCCAAAACAACCCAACAGUAGCAAGACUGAAGAAACACUAUAUUUAAACAUGUACAAAGAUUCGUAAAAUAAAAUUUCACAGAACAUUACCAUGUCUGUGUCGUCUUCAGGAUUAGGCAUACCUGUUGCUUAAGAUCAUAAGGGU
rnacentral:misc_RNA from 1 species